GACGUAGGGUCCAAGCGUUGUCCGGAUUUACUGGGCGUAAAGAGCGCGUAGGCGGUCUGUUAAGUGUGAAGUGAAAUCUCCAGGGCUCAACCCGGAAACUGCUUCGCAUACUGGCAGACUUGAGGAAUGCAGAGGUUUGUGGAAUUCCUGGUGUAGCGGUGAAAUGCGCAGAUAUCAGGAGGAACACCAAUGGCGAAGGCAGCUCGCUGGAACGGUACUGACGCUGAGGCGCGAAAGCGUGGGGAGCGAACAGG
rnacentral:rRNA from 1 species